UACGGAGGAUACAAGCGUUAUCCGGAUUUAUUGGGUUUAAAGGGUGCGCAGGUUGUUUGAUAAGUCAGUGGUGAAAGUCUGUCACUUAACGGUAGGAUUGCCAUUGAUACUGUUGGACUUGAAUAUGGAUGAGGUAGGCGGAAUGUGUAGUGUAGCGGUGAAAUGCAUAGAUAUUACACAGAACACCGAUUGCGAAGGCAGCUUACUAAUCCAUCAUUGACGCUGAGGCACGAAAGCGUGGGGAUCAAACAGGAUUA
rnacentral:rRNA from 1 species